AUGCAGGAAGCUUCUAAGUGCAAGAUUGGGUCGUUGGGACAGCAGCAACAGCAUUGCUCACAUCUGAAAGCCCAAAUGUUGAGAGUAGUUAACACUUCACCACAAUCAGCUCUGACUAGAGAAAGAGAAAAACUAAGUACUUGGUGGCAGCAUCACAAUCCAGGAGCACCCCAGUCGGCACACAAUAGCGAAAGUAGAUCUUGCCCCACUGUUGGCUUUUCUUUGUUAAAAAAAGUACAGUCUCUUGAAAACUUGUAGAAAUUGUAGAAGAUGUAGAAGAUCGUAUGAGUCCAAGGGAGGACAGCUCUACUUAAAAUGCCAAAAACAAUUUGAAGUGGAAUCUGGAUAAGUCACUACGGACAGCUUUUGCAUAUCUGUCAAUUCCCAACACUGAUGCGGCACAGCUGGGCAGAUUUUUGCCCACUCUACGGAGAAGCCCUUGUAGACCAGUUGCCAAUGAACACUUUGUGCUUGAAGGUUACAUUUUUCUUAGAUGACAGGCAUGUGCUUAGCCAUUGUUUCUCAACUCAAUACCCUACCAGUGAGACUGAAUUCUGGAUAUUUACAAACUUAGCCAUCCUUUGCUGAAUUCAACUUUUCAGCUUAAUUUUUCUUUUUUAAAUAUUUUUUUUAUUAUUUCAGAUUUUUUGAGUUUCCAUAACAUAUUUUAGAAUUUAUGUUAAUUUCAGAAGAAAAGUAUGCUAGGAUUAUGAUAGAGAUGGUUUUCAGCUGUGUGAAAACUCAGGCUCCCAUCUUAAAACUAGUUCACCAAAUUAAACACUAAUUUUUCUUUAAAAAAACUAAAAUUAAUUUUUAAAAACUAUACAUACACACACACCUACAUAUGUAGGUGUGUGUGUAUGUAUAGUUUUUAAAAAUUAAUAUCUGUACAUAUAUAUGCAUGUGUGUGUUUCUUUCCUCAGUAUAAUUGUUUUCUUUUUCUUUCCUCAGUAUAAUUGUUCAUUGUCUACAAUAUUAUCUCCAAGAACUAGAGGGCUUUAGGCCAAGAGUGCAGUUAGGUUAAUAUUUGAAAACUCAUCAAUCCAACACACCAAAUUACAGAAUUAAGGAGAAAAUUUUGUGAUUCUCUCAGUAGUUCACAAAAAGCAACACACAAAAUUUAAUAUGAACAGUAAAGGUCUCAGUAAACUAUGAAUAAAAAGGAAUUGCCUCAAUAUGAUAAAGGCCUU
rnacentral:lncRNA from 13 species